rnacentral:lncRNA from 1 species
ACAUUUCACUGUAAGAAGACGGUGGAAGGCAAGGAGUCAGAGAAGAGACGCUUCGCCGCGGAACACGACGACUCCACCGAGAGCCUGGGGUCAGGGGGACGGAGCACCUGCGGGUGAGCUCCCGGGGCGCCUGCCCCCGCGCCCGGCUGCCCGGGGAGGGUCUCGGUCCUGGUUCCUGGUUCCUGGCGUGGGGGCGGCCCGUGCACGGACACGGGACUUGCACGGCUGUUGGCGGCUCUCCACCUGCUGGCCACCUGAGGCGGGGUGACCUCGCGCAGUGUCUGCAGGCCUCGGGAAGCCCCGGGUCCCUAAGGGGCCAGAGGUCACCUUGGGCAUCGCGGCCCGUGGAGCUGGUGCUGGGGCUAGAAAGCAGGUGCUGUGAGCGAGGCAGGCGGGGGGCCGGGGGGCUGGGAUCCACAAGGUCAUCCCACCCAGAGCAGGAAGCUGCCCUGCAUGCACAGGGGUGCCUACGGUGCACGUCCCCGCGCAGACCCCAUGCCAGCCCCGGAGCCCUCCCGGCCCCCCUCCCAGGUAGACCCACCUGGUCUAGGCGCUGUCCUCUGUCGGGAGCACAGCGGGCGGUCCCCGAGCGUGCCUGUCACACCGGCCUGCGGUAAGAGCCAUCCGCUGGCUGUAGGGCCGGAGGGCUCGAGGACAGGGUGACCAGCAAGCGGAUAAAGGGCUGUGGAUGGGGAAGGGGAGUGUGAGGGGGCGAGGGGGGGUGUGCGGCUCUGGGACCCUGCAGGCCACCCCUUCCACCCCUCGUUCCACAUCUUGGCUAUUGUGAGAAGUGGAGCCAUGAACACAAUUGUGCAGAUGACUCUUUGACACCCUGAUUUUGAUUAUUUUUUAAAAGAUUUUAUGUAUUUAUUCAUGAGAGACGCACACAGAGAGGCAGAGACCCAGGCAGAGGGAGAAGCAGGCUCCCUGCAGGGAGCCCGAUGGGGACUGGAUCCCGGGACCCCGGGGUCACGCCCUGGGCCAAAGGCAGGCGCUCAGCCGCUGAGCCACCCAGGGAUCCCCGAUUUCAAUUCUUUUGAAUAAACGCCCAGAAGUGGAAUUGCUGCAUCACGGGUAGUUGUAAGUUCAACUUUGGGGGAGGCUCCAUAGUGUGUCCACAGUGGCUGCAUCCGGGAGACGCCCCGAGGCCGAGUGAUGCCCACGGCCACGUGGCUGGCCCGGGGCUGCCUGGCAGCGGCGUCCUUUGUCCCGCCGGGGAAGAUCCCUUCCUGAGUGUCACGGGGGUGCCCUGGACGCUCUAGGACGAGUCACUUCCGACAGGUAAGCAGUUUCCUCCGAGGGUGGGUCUGCUCCCCUAGAAUCAGGCCAUCUCCCUGCGGCCCCACGCAGCUGCAGUUAAAUCAAGAGGCCAUAUAUAUUUUUUAACAACAUGUAUUUUUUUUGUGAUCUUGCCCCCAUAAAGUGCUCAGUGAAGGGGAAUCUAAAAAUAAAAACAACGGGAAGACACAUAAAGGGCCAUUUAAUUUAAUUAGUACCAAAUUAAAAUAGCGCUGAGGGGGUUUCGUGCAAGGCCUGGCAUCCUGUGACGGCCGAUGGCGCUCACGUUCGUGGAGAAAUUACUGAAGUAAUGACCUGUGGUCUGGUUUUGGGGGUGUGACGGCUCUCGGGCCUGAGCAGAGAACCCCAGGGAACACUUGGCCGCAGCCACAGGUCUCCGUGGGGCGCGCGUACGUGUCCCAGCUUUGUCACGUUUGUGUGUGUGGGCAGGAUGCCUCUUCGCUGAAAAUUCAUACACUUUCUAACUGAGGCUUCGUUUUGGGUCCCAGGGCCGCUUUUUAUUUUUAUGGUGAUGAAAGCCACGUAACAGGAUGCUCUCCGCCAUCACCAUUUUUACGGGUUUAAUUCGGUCGUGUCAGGUAUAUUCAGCGGUCACGGGACAGACGUGUCGAAAUUACUCAUCGUGCAGAGCGGAAGCUCUGUUCCCCCAAACGCUGGGCGCUCUUCUCCCCCAUCACACCCUGGGGUGCUGGAUGAGUUCUAGUGAUCUUGGGGUGGAGUCUUUUGGGUUUUCCAUGCACAGUAUCAUGUCAUAUGUGAAGAGGGAGAGUUUGACUUCUUCUUGGCCAAUUUGAUCACCUUUUAUUUCUUUUUGUUGCCCGAUUGCUGAGGCCUAUAGGACUAUGUUGAAUAACAGGGUGAGAGUGGACAUCCCUGUCUUGUUCCUGAUCUUAGGGGAAAGGCUCCCAGUGCUUCCCCAUCCUAUGACUUUUUAAACAGGAAGACUUAGAUCAGUUUUCCAAGCUCUAAAGUGAUCUACAAUCUGCUCAAGAUCCCUAGUUCUUCAAUUUCUUUUUUUUUUUUUUGCCAAGAAAUCACUUUCUGUUUUGAAAUUUAAUAUAUAUUAAAUAUUUAUUAUUUAAUUAUAUAUUAUUUAAUAUAUAUAUUUGAAAUUUAAUAUAUAUAUAUUUAUUUAUUUAAGUGCAGUUUAGUUGACAUAUUCUCUAUCAUUAAUUUCAGGGGUAGAGUUCAGUGAUUCAUCAGUUGCUUAUAACCCCCAGUGCUCCUCACAUCACAUGCCCUCCUCCAUGUCCAUCCCACAGUGACCCCCGUCCUCCAACCCCAACCCCUCCAGGGGCCCUCAGUUGUUUUCCUAGGGUUUCGACAUCUCUUAUGCUUUGUCUCCCUCUCUGUUUCCAUCUUAUUUUUCCUUCCCUUCCUCUAGGUUCAUCUGCUUUGUGUCUUACAUUCCACAUGAGUAAAAUCAUAUGGUAUUUGUCUUUUUCUCUGACUUACUUCGGAGAAAUGGGGAAGCACUGGGAGCCUUUCCCCAAAGAUGAGGAACACGACAGGGAUGUCCACUCUCACCACUGCUAUUCAACAUAGUCCUACAAGUCCUGGCCUCAGCAAUCAGGCAACAAAAAGAAAUAAAAGGCAUUCAAAUUGGCAAAGAAGAAGU